rnacentral:rRNA from 1 species
UAGGGAAUCUUCCGCAAUGGGCGAAAGCCUGACGGAGCAAUGCCGCGUGAUUGAAGAAGGCCUUCGGGUCGUAAAACUCUGUUAUAAGAGAAGAACAAAUUGUAGAGUAACUGCUACAGUCUUGACGGUAUCUUAUCAGAAAGCCACGGCUAACUACGUGCCAGCAGCCGCGGUAAUACGUAGGUGGCAAGCGUUGUCCGGAUUUAUUGGGCGUAAAGGGAGCGCAGGUGGUUUCUUAAGUCUGAUGUGAAAGCCCACGGCUUAACCGUGGAGGGUCAUUGGAAACUGGGAAACUUGAGUACAGAAGAGGAAUGUGGAACUCCAUGUGUAGCGGUGGAAUGCGUAGAUAUAUGGAAGAACACCAGUGGCGAAGGCGACAUUCUGGUCUGUUACUGACACUGAGGCUCGAAAGCGUGGGGAGCAAACAGG